UGUGACCUUUGUAUACCCGUC
rnacentral:miRNA from 1 species